UGGACAGGUGAAGAUUUCCCCAUCUUCUGGAAGGUUGCAAUUGAUUAAUGUAACAGGCAGCAUUGAUGUCAUUAUACCAGACCUCCCAUCAACUUGGAAUAUCAACAGCAUAUAUGAGGUAAAUGAAUUCUCGCUUGUUAUGGAAGGCAUACCUGAAAAAGUGGAUUGUUCGGGAUUACACCUCAAUGAAUCAUUCCUGUGCA